UACGGAGGGAGCUAGCGUUGUUCGGAAUUACUGGGCGUAAAGCGCACGUAGGCGGCUUUGUAAGUUAGAGGUGAAAGCCCGGGGCUUAACCCCGGAAUUGCCUUUAAGACUGCAUCGCUUGAAUCCGGGAGAGGUGAGUGGAAUUCCGAGUGUAGAGGUGAAAUUCGUAGAUAUUCGGAAGAACACCAGUGGCGAAGGCGACUCACUGGACCGGUAUUGACGCUGAGGUGCGAAAGCGUGGGGAGCAAACAGG
rnacentral:rRNA from 1 species